CCGCUUCAGCACCACGGACAGCGGCCAGCCCCGCGCACCGGCGGCCUCGCCCGGAGGCCCGCGCCACCCGCGCCCCAGGCCCCAGGCACCACGCUGGACAAAGGCUAGCUCUCGUGGAGGGACGUGCGAGCCAGAAGUCCCCGGAUGAGAUGGAGGUGUCCUUCUGACGGGGCUUCUGACACAGAGCAGCAACCUGACCCUCGGCCUCCCUGGUUUCUCCCCUGGAAUGGGUAGGGGCUCUUCUGGCUCUAAGCCUGAAGAAACUCAACCAGUCUAGAGAACCCACAGUGAGUGGUGACUGAGGCCCCAUCCUCUUCUGGCUUCUCCUAAGCCUUCCAGAAUCGAGGAUGUUCUACAGGAGUCCAGAUCCUCUGCUUUGGUGGAGGCGAGAAGGCUCCCACCCAAGAGCAUCAUAGAACCACUGAGUUGUGCUGAGUACUUCUCCAGUGAGCAGACUGGGGAUCGCAGAAUUUGGAAAGUACUUUGGGACUCCAUCUGAUGCUUUUUCUGGCCACCACCAUCCUCCCCUCACUUCCAGCCCACACCCUGUCAAGUCAACCUAAAGGAGGCAGUCUGGAGCAGGUCUGUCUCCUGGUAGGCAGGGAAGAGAGAACUUCCAAGCUUACAGAAAGCACACAGGUACCCUAAAGGCCCUGGGGAAGCUAUUUAGAAGCAGGACCCUUCCAGUAACUACAAACAAAAUGUCAUGGCAAAGAGAACCCGCGAGACCGACAGAACGGCCUUCCUGUACCCUCGUCAUGCCUCAAAGCCACAAGUGUGGUCAGUGACUACAGGAGCAGUGAGAGGGACAAGUGAGUCACAUCAAUUUCCUGUGGCUCCAAAAGGCUCUUGUGAUGUUCAUAAAAGCUUUGGCUGAUGUGACGCUACUCUUGGAAGAGAGCUCUGCCAGCUGGAGCCUGGGAAGGGUCAUAAGUGAUAUGAACACCACAUCAAACUGCUCUCUGUGCGCCAGUGUCCAUAUUGAUAAUAAGAUGACAUAAGAUUGGUUGAUUUCUGCCACGCCUUUCAGCUUUUGAAACUCAAUGCCUUGGGGACUGUGGAGGUUAACUGAGUCAGUGAAGUGCUUGCUGUCCAGGCAGCAGAACCUGAAUUCAAUCCUUAGCACCCAAAGCUGGGAAUGGGGUUUGCGCUUAUGAUUGAGGAGGUGGAGACAGGCAAAUCCCUGGGGCUCAGUGGCCAGACAGACAGCCUAGCCAAAUGUCAGGCCACAGGUCUCAGUGGGAGAUGUCUCAGAAAACGAGGUGGCUGGCACUCCUACAAUGCCUGAGAUUGACUUCUGGCCUACGUAUGAAUAUAUGUGCGCGUGUGAGUGUGCGUGUGUGUGCCUGUGUGUAAGCAAGGUUGCAGUGAAAACACGGAACUAGACGUGUGGAAAGAAUGGUUUGGGGAACUUCAGAUCUGCCAUGGUUAUCUCCAGGGGUGCUGAGCAAAUGGCGAAAGGCGGUCAAACCCUUGCCAGUGUUGGGUGUUAUGGAAGAGGGAGUCUGUACACUGGAACAGCCUAGAAGUUGAGCGUAGCUGUGGGAGAGCUGUGCGAUACAGAAGAUCUUGGGAGCUAGCGUGGGGGUCUUACGUGUGUGUGACAGGUGCUGAUCCGGAAGUAAAUGCUCCAUUUGCUGGGGGGGGGGGGGAGCAGAUAGGGGAGAUAGGGGCUGUGGUGGUUUGUAUGAGAAUGUAUGAGAUUCUUAUAUUUGAAUGCUUAGUCACCAGAGAGUGACAUUAUUUGAAAGGAUUAGGAGGUGUGUGUGGUCUUGCUGGAGCAAAUGUGUCACUGGGGAUGGGGGUUGAGGUUUCAAAAGCCCCAGCCAAGCCCAGUGCCUCCCUCUCCUAUCUACAGAAUCAGGAUGUAGCUCUCAACUACUCCUCCAGCACCAUAUUCCCACUGUGACGGCAGUGAACUAUAUCUCGGAAACUGAGAGCCCCCAAUCACAUGUGUAAUGCAAGUUUUGGUUUCUUUGUAAACUCAGUUAUGUUAUCUAAAUGUGUUUUUGUUUUAACCCCAAGUGUGGGAUUUUAGUUUGGGCGUUACUUUGUCCUCACCUGUUAAUUGUCUCCCGUGGGGCGUGGUCUUGGCCAGCGGGUAAUGGCCUGCCCCAUGAAGCAUGGAGAGGGGCGUGGUCUAGGACUCCGAGGAUGUAAACAUGAGAGCUGAGAAAGAGAAGUGUGUUACUGCGUGUGGGGUUGGUGUGUGGUGAGUAGCAGUCUGGAGAGACAGGAAAGAAGGACGGUGUGGCAGUCUGGAGAAAGCAGUACUUCGGGGCGCAGCAUCUUGGAGGAGACUGCUGGCUGCAUUUGCUGUUGACAGAGACUGGUAUAGAGCCCUAAAAUAACCCCUCAACCCUAAACAGCUAGGAGAAAUAAAGGGGUCUGGGCGCCCUCUCCCCACGAAAUUUCACUCUCCUACUAAAGUUGGGAGGUUGGAAAGGAGGUUGAGAGCCUAAAUACCCCAAAUAAAGUAGAGUUAUAAAAAUGA